rnacentral:tRNA from 1 species
GGCAUGAUGGCCGAGCGGUCUAAGGCGACGCACUCAAGCACUUGCUUGUCCUUCAUUGGACUGAUUUGCGUUGGGAUUUAUCCCGCGUGAGUUCAAAUCUCACUCAUGUCA